AGUAAAUAGCUAAAUUUUUAAGUUUAUUAUUUACAUUGAUAGGAUGUUUUAAUAACUUUACUUAU
rnacentral:tRNA from 1 species